rnacentral:misc_RNA from 1 species
GAUGAAGAACGUAGCGAAAUGCGAUACUUGGUGUGAAUUGCAGAAUCCCGUGAACCAUCGAGUCUUUGAACGCAAGUUGCGCCCGAAGCCAUCAGGUUGAGGGCACGUCUGCCUGGGCGUCACAUAUCGUUGCCCAAUGCCUAUUGCAGUGCAAUAGGAAUUUCUAGGGCGAAUGAUGGCUUCCCGUGAGCGUUGUUGCCUCGCGGUUGGUUGAAAAUCGAGUCCUUGGUAGGGUGUGCCAUGGUAGAUGGUGGUCGAGUUAGAACGAUACCGAUCAUGUGCAUGCUCCCCAAAAUAUGGCCUCUAUGACCCACACGCGUCUUUUAACGCUCAUGACGAGACCUCAGGUCAGGCGGGGCUACCCGCUGAAUUUAAGCAUAUCAAUAAGCGGAGGA